rnacentral:rRNA from 1 species
AACGAACGCUGGCGGCAGGCUUAACACAUGCAAGUCGAACGCAUCCUUCGGGGUGAGUGGCAGACGGGUGAGUAACGCGUGGGAACGUGCCCUUCAGUUCGGGAUAACCCAGGGAAACUUGGGCUAAUACCGGAUACGUGCGAGAGCAGAAAGAUUUAUCGCUGAAGGAUCGGCCCGCGUAGGAUUAGCUAGUUGGUGUGGUAAAGGCGCACCAAGGCGACGAUCAGUAGCUGGUCUGAGAGGAUGAUCAGCCACAUUGGGACUGAGACACGGCCCAAACUCCUACGGGAGGCAGCAGUGGGGAAUAUUGGACAAUGGGCGCAAGCCUGAUCCAGCCAUGCCGCGUGAGUGAUGAAGGCCUUAGGGUUGUAAAGCUCUUUCGUCCGGGACGAUAAUGACGGUACCGGAAGAAGAAGCCCCGGCUAACUUCGUGCCAGCAGCCGCCGUAA